rnacentral:rRNA from 1 species
UACGAAGGGGGCUAGCGUUGCUCGGAAUCACUGGGCGUAAAGGGUGCGUAGGCGGGUCUUUAAGUCAGGGGUGAAAUCCUGGAGCUCAACUCCAGAACUGCCUUUGAUACUGAAGAUCUUGAGUCGGGAGAGGUGAGUGGAACUGCGAGUGUAGAGGUGAAAUUCGUAGAUAUUCGCAAGAACACCAGUGGCGAAGGCGGCUCACUGGCCCGGUACUGACGCUGAGGUGCGAAAGCGUGGGAGCA